rnacentral:rRNA from 1 species
UUUAAAGUCUAAUCUGCCCUAUGAGGGAUUAAAUGGCCGCGGUAUUUUGACCGUGCAAAGGUAGCAUAAUAAUUAGUUUUUUAAUUGAAAGCUGGAAUGAAUGAUUGGACGAGAAAAUAGCUGUCUCAAUUUAAUUUUUUUAGAAUUUUAUUUUUAAGUAAAAAAGCUUAAAUUUUUUUAAAAGACGAGAAGACCCUAUAGAGUUUUAUACAAGUUAGAGAAUAGAUUUUAUUGAUUUUUUAUAUUUAUAUUUUAUGUUGUAUUUUGUUGGGGUGAUGGAAAAAUUUAAUUAACUUUUUUUAAAAUAUAAUACAUUAAUUUAUGAUUAUUUGAUCCAAUUAUUUUGAUUAUAAGAUUAAAUUACCUUAGGGAUAACAGCGUAAUUUUUUUUUAGAGUUCUUAUCGAAAAAAAAGAUUGCGACCUCGAUGUUGGAUUAAAAUUAAUUUUUGGUGUAGAAGCUAGAAAAUUAGGUCUGUUCGACCUUUAAAAUUUUACA